rnacentral:misc_RNA from 1 species
CAACCCUCAAGCUUGGCUUGGUAUUGGGUGUCACCUGGCAAUGGUGCAUCUUAAAAUCAGUAGCAGUGCCACCUAGCUUUCAAGUGUAGUAAUUCUCUCGCUUUGGAGGUUUGGGGUGCGUUCUUGCUAUCAACCCCUAAUUUUUCAAA